CCCCAAUACAUAAAGCUCAGCCUCUUGCAGCAUCCCUCCCGCCUGCCUUUUCUGGCCUAUGCCAGGGGCCAGGCAGUAAGAGACACACAAACUAAUUAAGAAGCAGAGUUUGGCUGGAUGCCUGGGCUGGCCUCACCAGGGAAUUAAGCCCAAGCUGUUAGAGCCCAGGAGCGUAUACUUUCCAGAUACCCCCUCCCCGGGACGCUCCUUCCUUCUGCCUGGCACAGUGAGAGACCCAAGACCUGAAGCUAGUAGCCAGGGGAUAUGGCUUCUGUCACCCACACUGUCUGGGUCCAACACCCUCCACUCUCAAAGAGAAUAAUUAGAUUCUUAGCCCCAGAGAAAGCAGGAGAAUCCUGCCCACCCCAGCCACACAUCAUUAGAAAGUAACUACAAAGCCCACCCUGCGGUGAGCAGAACGCAAAGUCAGGGCCAUGGGCUCUGGGGACUGACUGACUUUCUGUGCUGUGCACGUCGGGAGGAUGACCCUGGGUAGUAUUGAACCAAGGAGUCUUCGGUGAGGAAACCCGCGGCAUGGAGUGGAGAAAAGUAUUCCAGGCCUGCUGCCUGGGACUGAACCUCAGAAUUGACAGUGGCAGCCAACCUCAGAGAAUGCAGAGGACCACCAGGCUUGUGGUCCAGCCCUAAGCUGUCUGGGCCUCACUGUCACCCAGAUAUCAAGCAGGUGGGACUUCUACCUAGCAGUGGUUGAGAGAACUGGGUACCUGCUACAGGGACAGAGGUUUUGUGUCGGGCACUGUCAGGCAUCUUAAGGACUUACUCUUGUUCACAGAGAUGCUAAGGAUCCUAAGUAGCCAGGCUGAACAGCUUUGUGCCUUCCUCCUAAGGUUCCCAAGCUGCAGGUAUGCAAGCCCAGAGGCGACUAGCCACACUUCCAUAAUUCUUGCUGUGAAACUAGCAUAAGAGCCAGCAUCUCCUAGUUUCUACAAGCACUAGAACAGUGCUCUGGACCACACAUGAGUCUGGUAAGAAUGUGGGAGCAUGAGAGCUAGACCCCAAGACCUGCAGGAAUGUCCCUGGGGGGGGGGGGACCAUAAGGAAUCACAAGGCAUGGGAUCAGUCUGCAGCAGGGGAUCUGGGGACCACCAUCACUUCCUCACUGAAGAAAGCCUUCCUUCUCAGAGAAGCCUCAGCACUUGGACCCCAGUAAGUUCCCAGAACUAGCCAACUCUGGUUGUGUCUGAGAUGAGCUAGGGAAGCAGGGUCCUGGGACAGGGUCCGGCAUGGGUGGGUAGCUGAGGUCUCUAAUGACACCACAAUUCCUAAACAGCUCUCUGGUCUCUUCUGCUCUCCUCUUGUGAGUCAGAGCCUGCAAGGGAAGCAAGGAAGAGUGCAAGUUCGAAGAGACUCGGCCUGGCCCCAAUGGUGCCGUCGCCUCCUGGAGAAGUAGAUUGCGUCUGAAAAUCAUACGGUGGCAGAUGUGAAUAAUGAGGCUACUCCCUGACUGGCUUGCCACUGGGCCAUGGUCAUACCCUGCCUCACUGUGUGACCUUCCUGUCUCUGGGCUCCAGAAUAGUCUGCUAGAUAUCAACAUUGGUGGGCUACCUCCUGAAAUUCCUCACAUCGUCAGACUCCAAGGCCUGUGAGCUGUGACUGAGGCAGGACAUGUACAACACACCAUUUCUCAUCUGAGAGUCGCAACUUGCACUGUCCCAACCUCCCCCCCGCCCCCGCCCACACUCUUGCUGGACAGUAAUGUAGCUAAGGGGAGCCAACUUUAAAGAGCCGGGCAGUGGUGGCACACACCUUUAAUCCCAGCACAUGGGAGGCAGAGGCAGGCAGAUUUCUGAGUUCAAGGCCAGCCUGGUAUAUGAGUGAGUUCCAGGACAGCCAGGGCUACACAGAGAAACCCUGACUCAACAACAACAACAACAACAACAACAAAGUAGAUGGUCUCAUUCUCUGAGCAGGCAUAAGGGACAGCGGAAUACGAGACCCCAUGUCUCUACUGAAUGGGUGAGGGAAGACAAGAGGCAGGAGAAUUUCAUAAUUUAUUUACUCAAGUCUUUUACAUAGCAUCGUCUUAGACAUCCCAUUGUGUAGAAGGUGCCAGUGAGUGAAGACCUGGCCGGUCACCAGAGAGUACCAGUCUAAGGGAAGUAAAGUUUGUCCACAGGGAGCCCCAUCUGAGGGGACACAGACUGUCCACAGGGAGCCCCAUCUGAGGGGACACAGACUGUCCACAGGGAGCCCCAUUUGAGGGGACACAGACUGUCCACAGGGAGGGAAGAGGCACAACCCUGGACCUGGGCUCCAGCCUAAGAGGGGAGACCGUUUCCCACCCUGGUGAAGAAAUAGAUGAAAACACAGACUUAGAAAUGGACCAUAACCUAAAGAGGAAAGGCCUGGCCUGGUGAAUAACUCUGUUCUCUUACUGGAAGAUAACUUCUUGCCCCUUCUGCCUGGCUGCCUGCAGCUCCUCUGUUUUACCACCCCAGGGAAGCAGCCUGGUGUAUCAUUUGGGUACACUCUCUCUCAAUGCAAAUGUCUCUCUGGGCUCCUGGGGACUGGGCCUGCUUGAUGGCCAGUGUCUGACACUGGCAGCUGGCAACAGGCACAGGGAGGAGAAUCUGCUCUCUUUGCAGUACCAGACUCCAUUCAGGCAAGAAGCCUGUCCCCACCCACUCCGAUAGCCUUCCAGCGAAGCCAUCUCAGACCGUAGGACUGCCUGGCAUCUGCAGAUCUGCUACUUUCUGGAACCCCAGCUGCCACUUGGUCUUGGAUGUCACCCAUGUCCCAGGCCUAGAAUAGUCAUCAAUGUCUUGAGCUGAAGUAUAUAGACAUUUCUAUGUGUCCUGGUCACGUGAGGCUGCUCACAGCGCCCAGAGCAGGGCAGAAUACACAGCAGUCACCUGUAUACUUGUGAGCCAAGCCAACCACAGCAACCAACAAAAAUCGGCUUUGGACGAGGCCUGAAUCACCCAGUUGAAGUUUGGAUUAGGGGCUAAUGCAAAUGCCCGUCUUUUAAGAAGAUGUGUCUGAGUCUUAUGCAGCCUGGUGAAGCUGAUUCUUGGAGAAAGGAAUCAACUAGAUGAGGGGCAGGCGUCCAUCGGAAGCUCUGGGAUAUGCAGGUUGCAGAGACGGUAGGCGCCCCCAUUGCUUCCUGCUUUUGGGAUGUGGCUGGGCAAGAAGAGGUCAGGCCAGGCAUCUCUUCCUGCAUGAGCAGACUGAGAGGGGGUGUCUGUCCUCUGGCUUCUGGGGCCCCAGUGGAAGUAUCCUGUUCCGCUGAGCUAGCUUUUCUCAGCCUCCCAGCAGGCUCUGCCAGAAGCAGGAUCAAAUGUUCCCCAGCUUAAAGAGAUGUCCCAGAAAGGGGACUGGUGAUACUGGGGUCACAGUCUGGGGGCUCAAGGACAGGCCCUGAGUUUCCCUUGCCUCUUUCUGUUUAACCUUCUACCUAACUGUCUUCUUUCUGUCCCCAGUCAUCCCUCCCUUGGAGACUGAACCCCAGGCUCACACUAGGCAAGCACUCGCCUACUAAGCUAUACCCAGGCUCUUUCCUCUUACAAAGUGGUCCAAGCUAGCCUUGAACUAUCUCUGUAGCCCAGGCAGACCAUGACUCAUUUGUGAUCUGAGAAUGAUGGGUUUGGGGGACAUGGAAAUUUGCAGCAGAUAUGGAGGGGCAGCUUGUAUGGACAUACAGCUGUAUACACACACACACACACACACACACACACACACACACACACACACACACACGGAAAAGGCAUGGCAUUUCCUGCAGGGGGCGCCAUUCACACAGAUUCCACAGGACCAGAGCGGUCCCUAGCCCCACCAAGCAUUGAAAGUAUGGGGCCACUCCCUCUGCUUUGGUGUGACCUAGGCCAGCAUCACCCUAGCCAGAGCCUCAUCACCUGCUUCUCUCUACAAUACAAUUCAACCCUAGGGACACGUGGGCCUGUGCCCCUCCCCCUCCGGUCCCCCUGGCCUGUCUCCUGCCUGACUCCACAAGAUGUGCUGGGUCUGCUAGUGUCCAGGGAGGGUUGGAAAUGCUGGAGUCCCCUGCCACAGGCCAAGCAGUUCAGAAAGCUCAGAGCCCAGGGGACUUACUGUUCUUUUAAUUAACUAGUCUCAUUGUUUGGCUCCGGUUCUUACAGGGAAUCCCCCAGUGCCUACCAGAGGGGAUAUGGAACAUUAAGAUUCAGGCAUGGCUGCAGGGAUGGAAGGGACCAACAGCUCAGCCCUUUGAAGAUAAUCCAGCCUGUUUAUUGCAUACUCUUUCUCUACCCCUACUUAAGGGCUUUCUGGGGCACCAGUGGGUUAAAAUGCCGCAGCCCAGACUAAAAACCACUUGCCUUCAUAGACCCCCCUCCAUCAUCUCUUUGGAGGCUGCAGGGUACUAAAGAAUAGAGAGGCUUAGCCACAGCCUUAAUACAACACAGCUAGUUACCAUGUAGCAACACUGGCAGCCAAGCCAGAGACUGACUAUUGAAAGCCUUUUGUUUCAGUGAAGUUUGUUCUUUUUUUAAAAGCUGUAUUUGUUUUUGUGUUAUGUGUGUGUAAAUAAAUGUACUACAUGCACACUUGGUGCCGUAUAUA